UACGAAGGGGGCUAGCGUUGUUCGGAAUUACUGGGCGUAAAGCGCACGUAGGCGGAUAUUUAAGUCAGGGGUGAAAUCCCAGAGCUCAACUCUGGAACUGCCUUUGAUACUGGGUAUCUCGAGUAUGGAAGAGGUGAGUGGAAUUCCGAGUGUAGAGGUGAAAUUCGUAGAUAUUAGGAAGAACACCAGUGGCGAAGGCGGUCUCCUGGGGCAUUCUUGACGCUGAGGCGCGAAAGCUGGGGGAGCAAACGGG
rnacentral:rRNA from 1 species